rnacentral:rRNA from 1 species
UACAGAGGGUGCGAGCGUUGUCCGGAAUCACUGGGCGUAAAGGGCGCGUAGGUGGCGGCCCAAGUCCGUGGUGAAAGCUCGCCGCUUAACGGCGAGUCGGCCACGGAGACUGGGUGGCUCGAGCACUGUAGGGGCAGAUGGAAUUCCGGGUGUAGCGGUGGAAUGCGUAGAGAUCCGGAAGAACACCGGUGGCGAAGGCGGUUAGCUGGGCAGUUGCUGACACUGAGGCGCGACAGCGUGGGGAGCAAACAGG